rnacentral:tRNA from 1 species
UUCCUAGCAGUCUAGUAGUUAAGACACUGCAUUUCCACUGCAGCGAACACAGGUUCAAUACCUGGUCAGGGAA